rnacentral:rRNA from 1 species
AGUGAAAUGGGAUGAGCUCAGCACCGAAUCCGGUUGUCGAAAGGCGAUCGUGAAAUGUGGUGUUUGGGAGGGCUCUGUCCGUGUCCGGUGUCGGUCCAAGUCUUCUGGAAAGGAGCUCCAUGGAGGGUGACAGGCCCGUGCGACCGAUUGCCGCGCUCGCGGACGAGUCCUCCUUCGAGUCGGGUUGCUCGCUAAUGCAGCCCCAAGCAGGUGGUAAGCUCCAUCUAAGGCUAAAUAUGACCACGAGUCCGAUAGUCCACAAGUACAGUGAUGGAAAGUUGAAAAGUACUCUGAAGAGAGAGUCAAAUAGCCCGUGAAGCUGCCAGUAUGGGAUUAAGCGCACGUAUGACGCGUGUCGUCGGCCAAAUAGGCGACUGCUGGGUGUGCACACUGUUCUUUAGAGAGAUGUAUAUAUAUACUUACUCUCUUGAAUAGUGUAUGAAUGCUCGACAGAACGCUUCCCUUUGGUCGGCAUCGACAGGUCGUGGCUUCGUUGUCCAUGGUCUUAUUGCCGAUGGGUGAUGCGCACAGCCGUGCUGAGCGAUGCUUAGUUCGUAAGGAUUAAGUAGCGUGUUCCGUUGAAAAUUUGCGCUCAAUGAGCGACAACGGUCGGCUUGGUGUGUGCUGAAAUAUGCUCGUCGAUGGCGAACGACCGGGCGACGGCUAGCGCAAACUGGAGACUUUUAUCAGUCUCUGCUCGGCCUUUGCGUCGUUAUGUGCGGCCCGUCUUGAAACACGGACCAAGGAGUCUAACAUGUGAGCGAGCGAUUGAGAUUGUCGAAUCUCAAACGCGCAAUGAAAGUAAAGUGUCGUCUGACGGCACGAGCGGAGAUCUAUUGUCACUUGUGAUAAUGGCGCAUCCGCGGGCCGCGCCAUCGGCUAGCUUGCUAUCUGCUUGCAGAGUGCACUGCUGAGGCGCGGACCUAGAGCCCACACGUUGGGACCCGAAAGAUGGUGAACUAUGCCUGGCCAGGAUGAAGCCAGAGGAAACUCUGGUGGAGGUCCGCCGCGAUUCUGACGUGCAAAUCGNUCGUCUGAGCUGGGUAUAGGGGCGAAAG